rnacentral:rRNA from 1 species
ACGUAGGGCGCGAGCGUUGUCCGGAAUUAUUGGGCGUAAAGAGCUCGUAGGCGGUCUGUCGCGUCGGAUGUGAAAGCCCGGGGCUUAACCCCGGGUCUGCAUUCGAUACGGGCAGACUAGAGUGUGGUAGGGGAGAUCGGAAUUCCCAGUGUAGCGGUGAAAUGCGUAGAUAUUGGGAGGAACACCAGUGGCGAAGGCGGCUCACUGGACCGGUACUGACGCUGAGGCGCGAAAGCGUGGGGAGCAAACAGGA